rnacentral:rRNA from 1 species
AUGUUUCACAAACACAUUGCCCAAUCUGCCGCAUGCCCGCGCUGUCAAGACCCUCAUGAAGAUGCAAUCCACCUCAUCUCCAACUGUUCUUACGCUACACAGGUUUGGUCCUCCUUGGGCCUGCCGGCCCCGACCUCCCUCGCUGCUCUGCUCCAACACCCAACGCUUCAUGGCCUCAAUCCCAAUAUCUGGUCAUCGGUGGCUCUGACUAUCUCUUGGAAGCUAUGGGAUUCCAGAAACGCGCUCGUCUUCAGGAACGAGGAUCAUACCCACAGAACCACGAUACGGAACAUUGUUGCUGAUUUCUCUCUAUGGGUUUUUCUGUUCAAAAAGGAAGAAGACAAUAUCUCCGCUAGACAAUGGCUUCACUUCCUCUCUUCAGCUGUACCCUAA